rnacentral:lncRNA from 1 species
AUCCAAACCUGAAAUCACUGCAUUCCACAUGCUAAUCUCAAUUGAUAUUUUACAUAGAACGAUACGUUUACAUACAACAAUAAGUUUACAAACAUUAAGCAUCUCCUUCGAAGAACACAAACCUCAUCACCAUACUAAUUUGGGAAGCUUUGUAGAUUGUGUCCAGGUUGCGAACAUUGCGUACAUUUGUGUGGGGUAACACUGUGUGUCUUUCCUUGUUGGGUGCGAGAUGAAAUCCCUUCUCCAUGACCACAAAGGAUGAGCUGGCAUGCUCAUGGACAGUUCGAAGCCAUAGACUUCAUUACUGUGUUGGAGGAUUCAUACCGUCUUUAGAGUCGUAUGAAUCAACAACUCUGACACUUGGCUCAUGUAGUGGUUUGCCCUAGAAAAUUAUAGUCACUAGACCUGUUGUUCUAGCUCUCACCAUUGCCCUUACAUCUAUGUCAUCCAUAAUCCAAAGAAACCCAUCUUUAAUGCCCGACCCCAUUGAGCAAAAAGAUAUACGGUGAAUAUAUGUAUAACCCAAGUCAAAGAAUGUGUUCCUUCGGAAGUAGACUAAUCCAAUAGUUUCUAUAUGUAGGUCGGCAACAUCUAUAAUACAUCCAACAUUUUCCCGCCUGCCAUUAUUUUCCCACAGCCAUCAACAAAGUCAAUCCUCCUAGUCAUGAAACUCCUUUCGAAUAUUUCGGUUCACCUAAAACAGUUAAAAAACGCAACGUCAUAUAAUUAUCCAUAAUCUUAAGUGUCCUAAAAUUAUCGCAUUUUACCGUCUUUCAACUUCAAUGCUAUCUACAACAACAAGUGAUGAGAUCAAGAAAGAGCGACAUUUCUUGUGACACUUAGCCAAAAUUUGAAGUAGUUCUUUCACAAUUGAUCAACCGGAUGACCAUGAAUGCUGUUUCAAUGCUAGCAAAAGGACCAAACCCCAUUGCAAACCUUAGAUUCAGAUUAAACAAUAGUUGAAGAAAACAAUAACUGAAGAAAUUAAAUAUGUUUGACAAAACAAAACAAAUGAGACCACCAGGAGACGGUGCAGAUUUGUAUGAAAAUUCAAAUCCAACCAUCCUACAACUUCAAAUCCCAAUUUAAUAUCAUUUUUUCUGAAAAAAGGAUGAAAUCGGAGAUAACUCACCUGGUGGAGAUUAGGGAGGUAAUAAAGGAACCCCUUGUAUUUCUUCUAUUGUUCAUCUCCCAUCUCAACCUACUUAUCUUCUUUUCUCCUGCAUCUCUAUCAGCAAUCUUCUCCAACCUUAUAAAAAAUGAACACUUGUGUUGCAUGUGAUUUCUCCAACACCUCAUUCCAUGUGUGAACUUUUCUCUGAAACCUAUCGAUUACAACCUUCAAUUUUUUGCUCACUAAGUAGGCAACUAUAUUCAUAUACUAUUUCUACCAAAUUAGUAGGAGAACAAACGAUGGGGCCAGGCUUUGAACACUAACUCAAAUAGUGCUUUCAGAGACAAUGACAUUUUCAACAAGAUCGAAAAGGCAUACAUUGCAAUACUCGAGCUCACCACAGAUUAAAUAAAGACCCUUCAAUUCGAUAACUACAAAGCUACAAAGAUAUUGUAUUCAAACUAUGGAGAGCUUUGAUGCUAGAUUAUCCAACUGGAAACAUAACAAGGAUGAUGCGGUUUCUGGGCGCUAUAUGAUACACAAAGUCGAGGGAAAAAAAAGGAAGAUAGACACUGACGUGUAGGCCUGGCAAUCCGAAUUUGAUUUUUUGGUCAAACCAAAUACAGUCAAAUCGAAAACCAAAUUGGGGUUCACUUUCGAAAUAAAAAAUGAAUACGAGAGUCUAUUUGACAUAAAAUCGAAAUCGGUGGGAUUUCACAAACAGAGUUUGGAAUCAAGUUUGAAAGCUUUGUUAUCAUAGCCAUCACGACUAGCAAUAGUGAAGAGAAAAUUAUAGAAACAAAUAUUUUAUAGUAUAUAUUUUUAAAAAUGAAAUGUUUAUGUGGUACUUUUACUUAUGUAUGAUAUGUCAAUUGUGAUAUGUUAUAUGACAUAUGUUUAAUUUUUGAUGCAGCGUAGAUGAUUUUUCCAAUUCAUACUGAUGGAGAUUGAUUAUGCAAUAAGUAUUAUGAAUAGGUUGUGUAUAUUUUUAAAAUAAUUUAAUAAUUUGUGAAAUUUUAAAGUUUAAAGUCUAAUUUUAAAUUAUCGAGACAAUCUCCAUAAUACGUGCCAAAGAGCUAAAUUUUGGCACCAAAACUUCUUCAACGAUAAGACUAUCUUUGAUACAAAGAUUCAAAAUCCUAUAAAUCUAAAUAUAGAACCAAAAUUUUCUUNNNNNNNNNNNNNNNNNNNNNNNNNNNNNNNNNNNNNNNNNNNNNNNNNNNNNNNNNNNNNNNNNNNNNNNNNNNNNNNNNNNNNNNNNNNNNNNNNNGUAAAUCUUAAAUAUAUGACUUUGGAGUGUAGUGAGGUGGGCCUCUAUGCUCAUCUUGGAUGAUGUGCAAUCAACGCUUGGGACAGAGCCAAUGAAGGGGUUGCAUGCAUCUCAACACCAACUCAUGUACAAUUUAUUAAAAUAGAAAACACAAAGGAGACAUGACAAUUAAUUAAAUUGACCAUAGCAUGCAUUUGCGACAACUAUAUCACAAAAUUCCGAAGCCAAACGACUCUUUUUUAGUGUCAGUAGUUUAUUUUAUUUAUUGUUCAUUGAUUUAAAUUUUAUAAAUAAUGUUUGACUUAUGAGCCUCUGAAUAAAACUUCUACAUUUAUAAAAAAUUUACAACUUCCUCAAUUUCUUCUUGUACUCAUUUUCUUUCAAUGGACUAUCACGUCUAGAGGUCUGAAUUAUAGUAUCAAAGAAGAUAAAGCAUUUUGUAGGGUAUGGGUAGAAGUUUCAGAAGACAUGAGUAGAGACAAUGACGGGCACAUGUGACUCCAACGAGUGAAUCUAAUAAAAAAGAUGAACGUAGCUAGUACAUUUCUACAUUUUGUUUAUUUACUUUCUCAUACAUGUUAUUUUAUAAUAACUUUGUUUAAUUUAUCGUAAUCAAUAAAUAACUUUGUUUAGUUUACUUAUUGCUUAGGACCGUCAUGUAAAAUUUUUCCUCUAAGCGGGCAACCAUGAAAAGUCAUUGAAGUAUGAGAAUUUUUGGCAUAUACUUGGAUUUUGUUCAAAAUAUAUCCAACAUAUUCCAUGCUUCCGUAACACCAAUUCCAUCAAUGGACACGCCUAGUUCGAGCAUGUCACCUGGAGAAAGUGAAAGUCCGUCUCACAAGCAAAUGAUUCCUCUUUUCGUAUCAACCGUUUCGAAAGUUGUGAGAAGCAAAAGAAAAAAAAAAGAGGAACGAUGGAUGUAUCUGGCGGAGCUUAGGAUAAGCAUAUGGAUCAAAUUUUGGCAAAUCAAAAAAGACAUAUGGCAUUCUCUAGGGAGAACAAGAGGAGUCGAGGGAAGCAAAAAAUGACGCAUGAUAAUGAGAUUCUAAUGAAGAAUCUUUCUCAAUUUAGUUUUAGAUAAAUGAGUAUUUUCUAAUCAGAAAGAGAUUCGAUUAUGAAUUUUUACUCACUCCUAUAUUUUGUCCACGAAUGCUCGACCAAAUCAUUUUCUUACGAAUUUUAUUAUGCCUUACCAUAUAUUCUGCGGGAGUUGGAAUGUCAUGCAUGGGGAAUCCCACAUGACAUUUGGACUAGUCUCCUAUUCAACCCUCCCUACUGAAUCAUCUUCCCACGUGGUUAUUGGAAGUGCUCCUCUAACUACUUGAUCAAAUAGUGGUGACACUCCUACCUAGGGCUAAUAUUGUUGUUUGAGCCGAGUAUUCUAAAGAAGGCAUGCCAAAUUCAUGUGUUAUAAAAUCAAAAGCUUGAAGGGCAAUAGUGGGUUUAGUCUUAAUAUAUAAAAAAAUCAAUGGGAUCGAUCUUCAGCCCAUCGCAAUCUAUCCUAGAUCCAACGACAUCAUCUCCAAGACUGAAGAUUCCUUUCCCUCUUAAUAAAUCUUGGACCCUCGCCCGUCAGAUCCACUAUGAUGUUCAUCCCCAUCAUAUUUCGCAUUCGCCCUUUCUCUGAUCCCUCUUUUGUGAAGCCCUUUAUUCGAGGCCAAAUUCAACUUUCAUUAUAAUCCUACCCAUUGGAAUAUGAGGUUCAAGUUCUGUUUAGCUUUCACUACCAUCACCAUCGCCAACAGGUAUUGUUUUCUUUCUUCAACUUCCCAAACUGAUAACUUUUUUAAUUUAGUUUUCAUCUCAUUAUUCUCUAUCAUAGCAAGGGUAUCUUAAUCUUGUGGUCCACAUUCAGGGUCUUGUGCCCCGUAUUAGGAGCUCGGUGUCCGCAAUUGUAGCCUUAUGCUUUGUUAAAGCUCUGAACUCCAUUGUGUCUCAUAUUAACUAACUUUCAUCUUUUUCUUUCAUCGAUUCCUCUUUCACCUUGAAUUUGGAUCCAACAUCUUUCAACAUCGGUACUCAAUUCUCUUCUUAAAUCAAUCAGUAUGUUGUAUAGUCAAAUCCUUUAGUGUCAAGACUCCAAUCAGUAUGGGUGAUGAUUAUUUUUGUAUCAAUGCUCCCUAAUAGUUCCAAAUCAUAUAUCUUCUUUGCAAUUUUCUUCUCAUCAACCAAAAUACCUAACUUACAUUGACAUUACUUUUAGAGAUUAUCUCUUCUAAUAAUUUUUAGACAACAUUUCAAAUCCUAAAUCAUGAUUCCUUUUGUUUAGACUGUUAUACCAAAUCCUAAAUCAUGAUUCCUUUUGUUUACACUGUUAUACCAAAUCCUUCAACUAGAUUAAAUUUCCAUAUUCCUUUGUAGCUAUGAUCCCCAUAUGACUCCAAAACUCUAUGAAGAAUUCGCACUGUCGAUCAAUAUUUGGAAUUGGCCCUUGAAUCACUUUGAUUACGGAAUAGGUGGACACUCCCCCCCCCCCCCCUCUCUUAUUCGGAUAUUCUCCUAUGAAAAAAGAAAUCAAUAACAUGACAUCUUGAUAAUUAACUUGGUUCUUCAUACCUCUCUUUUGGAUCUCAAUUCUUUACUUAUAACCUUGUAUUAUAUAAAUUGUGUCUUUAAUUUUUGUUGAGAGAAGUGUGAAUGAUUGAAAAUUACUCGAUAUUAUCUUUCAUUCUGUUUGACUCAGUAUUAACCGGAUAAUCAGAUUGAUUUAGUUGAGACUUUAUAUUUGAAGAUAUAACUAUACAAUUAUCUAUAAAGAUCCACUUUCUAGAAAAUCUUCCUUGAUUUGUAAUCAUAAUCUCAUUGAUUGCAUAAUCACUUGAUUACUCCAAUUGAUCAUCUCCUUGAUUGCAUAAUCUAUUAAUUUGCUCUAAUUGAUCAACUUGGUGGAGAACCCAUAUGUUAUUGUAAAUAACAUAAAAGGCUAGCCGAAAAAGAUAUAUAGAAAUCGAGAGCAACAACAUAGACGGAGUGUAUUCAAAGAUCUUCUCAUUUCGCACAUACGAGAAGAAUAUUUGAGUGGCUGUUUUAUCCUGAAGGCGACCUAGUUCGUGACCCAGCAAAAUCGAUAACCCUAAUUUUCUUGUUCAAUUUCUAACAAUUUGUAUUCCUCUUCCCGAACUUACAUAGAUUUCUUAAAAAGGUAAUUCAAUGAUCCACUUACCCUCUACACUAUCCUAUACCCUGAUUUUUCAUUUCCAGCUAUUUUUCUUUCUAACAUUCUAUGACCAUUCCUACCAUUAAAUGAAUAUGGACCCACUCUUUACUAAUCCUACUUAGUGCAUUCAACUAUUUUAUACAAUUAUGUAUUUAGCUCUUAUUAGCAAUAUAACCCUGCUCACCUCCAUCCUGCUUCUAUCCAACUUCAACACAGACCCUCAAUUUUCCUAUUACCAUCUCCUCUCGUCGUCAUCUCUACAUCCCAUAUGACUCCCCACAUUAUACUUUUUAGAUAAUCUCUCAAUCAAGUCUCUCUCACAUUUUAUAUAACUAUAAUACCUCCUAAUCCAUAUUUGUGAAAUAUUGGUUGGGAUGGGGUGCCCUGUGACACAAGUCCUAGUCUUAGUAUCUCGUUUUUUCAUUUUUUAACAUUCUAUCCAUUCUCACGAAAGUCAUGACAAUUUUAUCUUGGAAUUGUAGAUGCUUUGGUCUCGCAUCGAGAACCUGAGAAUUAAAGGGUAUUGUAAAUCGUUAUGACUCAUCUUUUAUCUUUCUUUGUAAAUUGUAGUUGUGUUGAGGACCUCUCAUCUCUGUGAUGCUAUAGCGUCGAGGCUUCUUCGGCCUAUCAUCAUUGUUGUCAUCAUCGAAGCUCUUCCAGUGGUAGUACACCGAUGACAUUGUUACUGAGUUUUUGUACAUUUUCCCAUCGAAGAGAAUUGGAGUUUGGGAUUUGGUUUUGAUGAAUUGAUCAUCUUGGCGCCCUUUUCUAGUUCCUUUUAAAAUCUGCUUCAUCUUUAUUUCAAUUUGAAUUCUCUGCUUCAAUUCUCAAAUGGCGUCCAUUAAAGGAUUCACCUAGGUCUAGUACAUUUUCCUUUGGGAUAUAGGCCUUACUUUUUACGCCUCAUUUAACUAGAUUAUAAGUUCUACCAAGCAUGAUAAUCCUUAUAUUGUGUUUGGAGAUGUACCGCAGUAAUAGUUGUUCAUCCUUUUAUAAUAUAAUGCACGGGACUAUUGCAAAUUACGAUAAUUAUUGGGCGGUUCUCGCCGAUACCAUUAAUACCUAUCCAUUGGUGGCAUCCAAAAUUCAAUACGUAGCAAUUAGAUUGGGGUCAUAGUGAAUUCCUACAUGAAUUCUACACAUCCGUAUUUCAAAAUAAUAUCUAUGAUUCUUCUGGGAGGUUAUCUGUUGUUCAUGGGGCAUUUUGCUAAGUUUCCAGUAAAACUGAAUUUGGGAAUCCGCUGGAUUGCGUAAGUGUUUUUGAACACUUUUUAAUUGUUUAUUUCAUUAAAUUUUUUAAGAGUAUUGAACAUGUUUUCCCUUUUGUUUAGAAUGAUUCUAGGGGAAGUUUCGAAGAAUGGUUGGAACUAAAUGAAUUUUUAUGAUAGAUGGAUUUUAAUUUAGGCUGGCUUGUUCAUGCAUAUAGAUAAUCAACUCAAUGCCUUCAAACUAUUCGGGCAGAGUACUUUUCAGGUUUGAAGCUUCUUUGGAAAGAUGAAAAAGAAUCUGGUAAAGUUGGUGGAUGAGAGAUUGAAAAAGCUGAUCAAUGAGCAAAUUCAGCUAUGUCAGUCCUUGAAUAAACCAGUGGCUGCGGCGACUACGACCAAAAAAGUGAUUAAAAGUCCGAUGGAAAAGUAUCCAAUGAGAGCUAGGGAGCAACUUUGAGAGGAAGUUGAGAGGGAAGAGCUUUAAAGUUGUUCAUCUAUAAGCAGAGUUUAUUUCAGUUGCUCAUAUUCUUUUUUUUUCAUCAUUUUUUAUAAAUUGUUUAAAAUGAUUAAGUUGUUUGUUUUGGGUUGACCAAUCAAAUCUAGUCUUUCUUUGUAUAAAUUUAAAUUACAAUUUGAUUACCAUUUAAUAGCACGAAUCAAGAAAUAAAUACCUUUUAAUUAAAAAUGGCUGACAGCCUAAUGUGUUUACAUUAAAAUUUAGAUGGAGGGUUGAUGGGGAUUGAUUUUGGUAUUAGCUUAAUUUGAGAUAUUAAAUUUUAAUAAUAUUCAUUUUUGCUUCGAUUUUGCCUCUAUCUUUUUUAUCAAUCAAGAAAUUAUGAAUAAUCAUACCUGUCCUAGUAAUUUAUUUAUUUUAUGAUAUGAUUAUGAAAAUUAUAUUUCUUAAUUAGUAGAGCCAUAAUUAUAACAAAAUUAAUAAAUGCUAAUUUUAAAUGUCGUUGGAAAUUUAUUGGCCUGAAAAAAUUGUUGUGAACCUUAUCACCAUCACUCAUUAGCUCAUGCCCACUAAAGAUAGUCAACCCUACCUUUUGUCCAAGAAAAUCAAUUGGACCUUCAAAUUACCUUCAAUCAAGUCUUUUUGGGCACUUAUUUGCAAAUAAAUUACAAUUUUAUAGACCAUAAUUUAUGCCUGUAUUUCACAACCAUAUACGGCCGGCCAACAUGAUUGCCAAAUUAAUGGCAAUUAUUAGUGUCAUUAGAAAUAUAGAAUUUUCGUUUCCAUAAAAAAAACUAUAGAGUUAUGUCAAUUCAUAUUUAUUAGACUUUGUUUUAGGAUGGUAAACGAUUUUAUCUCUUUUUGACAGAGCUGAUGGAAAUAAAAAAAAAUUACCUUAUACCAUUGCAAUCAGUCACCUGGAGAUAUGCAUCAAUUUUGUUAUCUUAUAUAUUGGUCUGACCUCUACUCAUUCCUUUAUAAUUCAAUAUCUCCUUUUAACUGUUUUCCUUUCGUUGUUACUGAUUUUUUGGUUUUUAAGAAAUAGGGUUGGCAACGGUUGAGUUCGGAAUCGGAUAGUUGAUAUCUGUUAUACACCCGUUGUAAUUUGGGUUCGGGUAAUACUCGCCCUAUAUAACCUUUCGGGUAGUAAAUUUCAUACCAUACUCAUACCCGUCGAUUUUUUUUUUUUUGUGUUUUGUUUUAUAUUUUAAUUUAAAUUUACCCAUAUCCUAAAAAUACCCUUUUAACUUGAGAUUUACCAUGUUUGACCGGAUCGAAUUCGACUUGAUUCCGUAAUACUAAUGCUAGUUAUGAUUGCCAAGCCAACUAAGAAACUAGGAAGAACAUAUUUUCCAAACUAUUGAUCUUAACUUAAUUAAUUUCAAAUUAACUACCUCUCUUUUAAUCUCUUUCCAUGAUCACGCUCUCCUUAACCAAUUAUGCGGUAGUUUAUUGUAAUCUUUUCAUAAUUUAAAUUUAGUUGUAAUUUCCUCCGCAUUUUAUAGUUAUCAACCUAUUUUUUCUAUCUAUUUUUCAGUUAUCAACCUAUUUUUUCUAGCUAUUUUUCGCCAUCAUUUAUCACACCCCAUCCUCAAUCUUAAUAAUUAACCUUUAACUAUUAAUUGUUUUAGAAUGGUUCACAAUCUUAUCUCUACUUACCAAAGUGGAUACGACCAAAGAUAUAGUUGGUUUAGUCUUAUAUCAUGUAUACUGACUAAACCAAGCAUAUAGGCAAUUUUUCCAUUCCAAAUGCAUGCAGUCUAUCAAACCAAUCAUAUCAGGAAAUCCAUGAUAAGAACUUUAAUCAAGAAGCCGACAAAGAUCAUCUACUGUUAGUGUACGUAAGUAGCGAGAGCCAUAGACGUUGAUGAUAACUUUACAAAAGUACCUCAAACACUCUAGGGAAGUGGUCUCUUUCCUUCGACAAUACUCAUCCAAUCAGUCAGCAGAGCAACCAUAUGCAAACAUGCGAAAGGAACUCGUAAGCUUUUGUUGUGGAGAGAAUGAGCUACCACCUAUAACACUUUUGAUAAGCUUGAAAUAGGAAUAAUUUUCAACAACAUCACUCAUUAUGCGGUUGAAUAAGGAGAGAGGUUAUAUCACCUAGUGACCCUAGCAGCCCAGAUUAGAUUUGGAUAGAAAUAAUCUUGCAUCAAACGUUUGUGACCUUCUUCCUCUUAGGAUUGUCUGGUUGUCAUGGCAUUGAACGAUGAUGAGAUGAUGAUGCUUGUUGGCGGUGUCUUUGUGCUGCCAUCAUCAUGAACAUUUCUUCACCUUCACGUUGCAGUUCACACUCAUACUGACAUUGCCUCUCAUUAACUUAUCUUCCUGGGGAACCCAUGAUACUGAAAGGAUAGUGUGUAGGCAUAGUUUAGAAAUUAGAGACCGAAGAAGUGGAAUGGUGUGCAGAGUAGAAUGGGAAAUGAAAUGGUCAUUUAUACAAAAAAUGUCAAAAU